rnacentral:rRNA from 1 species
UACAGAGGGUGCAAGCGUUGUUCGGAAUCAUUGGGCGUAAAGGGCUAGUAGGCGGCUUGGCAAGUCGGAUGUGAAAACUCCAGGCUCAACCUGGAGACGCCACUCGAUACUGCCAUGGCUAGAGUCCGGUAGGGGAGCACGGAAUUCCUGGUGUAGCGGUGAAAUGCGCAGAUAUCAGGAGGAACACCGGUGGCGAAGGCGGUACUCUGGGCCGGAACUGACGCUGAAUAGCGAAAGCGUGGGUAGCAAACAGGAUUAGAAACCCU